ensembl:lncRNA
CCUAGGAUUUGAAAGAGCUCAACUCGAACUCCAUCACCUCCACUAGCUUUGUUCACAGUGAUGCUUCCUAAGGCCCGCUUGACUUCACAUUCCAGGAUGUCUGGCUCUAGGUAUAAGUGCUGAUAAAAGUUUCCAAGAAACAAGCAAUAUCCCUCCAUUUCUAAAACUCUGUUGGAGAAGAGAAGCUAAGCCAGAAGCUAUUUCUUCAGAGAGAUACAACUGAUGAAUCUUUGACAAUACUACUCAUGGGGGGGAAAGUAAAUAUGAAUAAACAAUAUUAAGAAUAG